rnacentral:rRNA from 1 species
AUCUGGCGCAUGUCAUGGUGGUGGAAAGCUUUUGUGGUUUUGGAUGGACUCGCGGCCUAUCAGCUUGUUGGUGGGGUAAUGGCCUACCAAGGCGACGACGGGUAGCCGGCCUGAGAGGGUGACCGGCCACACUGGGACUGAGACACGGCCCAGACUCCUACGGGAGGCAGCAGUGGGGAAUAUUGCACAAUGGGCGGAAGCCUGAUGCAGCGACGCCGCGUGAGGGAUGACGGCCUUCGGGUUGUAAACCUCUUUCAGUAGGGAAGAAGCGUAAGUGACGGUACCUGCAGAAGAAGCGCCGGCUAACUACGUGCCAGCAGCCGCGGUAAUACGUAGGGCGCAAGCGUUAUCCGGAAUUAUUGGGCGUAAAGAGCUCGUAGGCGGUUUGUCGCGUCUGCUGUGAAAGACCGGGGCUCAACUCCGGUUCUGCAGUGGGUACGGGCAGACUAGAGUGAUGUAGGGGAGACUGGAAUUCCUGGUGUAGCGGUGAAAUGCGCAGAUAUCAGGAGGAACACCGAUGGCGAAGGCAGGUCUCUGGGCAUUAACUGACGCUGAGGAGCGAAAGCAUGGGGAGCGAACAGGAUUAGAUACCCUGGUAGUCCAUGCCGUAAACGUUGGGCACUAGGUGUGGGGGACAUUCCACGUUUUCCGCGCCGUAGCUAACGCA